rnacentral:rRNA from 1 species
UAACGAGGGCUGAGCUGUCUCCUCCCCCCAGUCAAUGAAAUUGAUCUGCCCGUGCAGAAGCGGGCAUAAGUACAUAAGACGAGAAGACCCUAUGGAGCUUAAAACACAGAAGCAGCCCACGUAAACCCCCCUGAACCUUAAUUUAGGGAAAAACAAUAUGGCCCUCUGCCCUUUGUCUUUGGUUGGGGCGACCGCGGGGAAACAAAAAACCACCACGUGGAACGGAUACCUCCCGAAACAAGACCCACAAGUCGAACAAGCAGAAAUUCUGACCAGAAAGAUCCGGCAAAGCCGAUCAACGGACCCAGUUACCCUAGGGAUAACAGCGCAAUCCCCUUUUAGAGCCCAUAUCGACAAGGGGGUUUACGACCUCGAUGUUGGAUCAGGACAUCCUAAUGGUGCAACCGCUAUUAAGGGUUCGUUUGUUCAACGAUUAAGGUGCUACGUGAGCUGAGUUCAGACCGGAGAGC